GUCGAUUAUGUUUUACAUAUGGUGAUAGUCGAUUAUUUGGAGUCGGCUUUCUGCUGCAGAAAACCACCGGUUUGUGAAUUUUCAUACAUGUUUUUAUAGCAGCGUUUUUGCAAAUAUAACAGAGACCACCUUACAUACAAUACAUAAACUACAGUUAGACUUCACAGACGGGCAAUUGCUGCGGAAGGUGUGUGUUGAAGAGCUAGGUGGCCCAACUAUUGUGGUUUUUAGAAACGAAACGCGCGUAUUUCUACCAUUGUCUCAUGUGGUGCUACGGACAAUUUCAUAGGAGACAUGGAGCGUGUUGUGUAUAAUGGUGCAAAUACCUGUUUAACAUGUGACGGUCAUUAUGUGCCUAGUACUGCUACCUCUGAAAUCAAUUUGACUUCCGAACUGGCUGUCCACGUCGAUACCUUACCCCAUCUACAACAAUAUGCUGUACGUAGAUGUAUGCGCAACACCUACACGAGCAAGUCCUCGUGCUUUAAAUCUACAAUUACAGAUAAGUUGUAAUGAUAUAUUUGUGAGUUAUUUUUAAGUUUUUGGUUUACAGGUUUUUGAUUUCUGCCUGAAGUAAGUGCAGCGUUCCAACACCUAUACGAGCAAGUGCACCCACAUUCCUCAUAUUUCCUCUCCGAUUCAUUAAUGAGACACGUGGUAUUGAUAUACGUAAAUUUACAAACCAUCACAAUUACUAAAAGUGGAUUAUAUUACCAAUAUCUAAAAUUUUUCGAUGUAUAAGUUUUAGUCUAUAAUAAUACAUUUUCCUAUUAAUAUUAGGGACGCAAAGUAUAUUAAGGUAGACAAAUUUUAAACUAUAAACUAGUAAAUUUGUAAUUUUUAUUGCAAACUAUUUUAACUCUUCUAAUUUCAAUUUUUUUCUUAUAUUUAGAAAUGAUCGACUGAACUUCUGCUUUCGCAAUGUCUUUACGGUAACAUACUACAUGUAUCUACAUGUAUUGUUAUGCACGAAAUAAGAAAAAAAAUUAAACUUUCUGUUUCAUCUCAUUCCUGUCGAUUAAGUAUAUUUUGACCUUUGGUGUAUUAAAAGACUUGUACUAUUGUAGUAAAUUAAACACAUUAAAUUCCUUUAUUAUGACUAUUUUUUGUUCUCUUCCACAAAAUAUACUCAAAUCUAU